rnacentral:rRNA from 1 species
AUUGAACGCUGGCGGCAGGCCUAACACAUGCAAGUCGAACGAGUGGCGGACGGGUGAGUAAUGUCUGGGAAACUGCCCGAUGGAGGGGGAUAACUACUGGAAACGGUAGCUAAUACCGCAUACCAUCGGAUGUGCCCAGAUGGGAUUAGCUUGUAGGUGAGGUAACGGCUCACCUAGGCGACGAUCCCUAGCUGGUCUGAGAGGAUGAUCAGCCACACUGGAACGGAGACACGGUCGAGACUCCUACGGGAGGCAGCAGUGGGGAAGAGGGCACAAGGGGCGCAAGCCUGAUGCAGCCAUGCCGCGUGGGUGAAGAAGGACUUCGGGUUGUAAAGUACUUUCAGCGGGGAGGCGUUACCCGCAGAAGAAGCAACGGCUAACUCCGUGCCAGCAGCCGCGGUAAUAC